rnacentral:rRNA from 1 species
GUAGGUGGCAAGCGUUGUCCGGAAUUAUUGGGCGUAAAGCGCGCGCAGGCGGUUUUUUAAGUCUGAUGUGAAAGCCCACGGCUCAACCGUGGAGGGUCAUUGGAAACUGGAGAACUUGAGUGCAGAAGAGGAGAGCGGAAUUCCACGUGUAGCGGUGAAAUGCGUAGAGAUGUGGAGGAACACCAGUGGCGAAGGCGGCUCUCUGGUCUGUAACUGACGCUGAGGCGCGAAAGCGUGGGGGGGAGCAAACAGGAUUAGAUACCCUGGUAGUCCACGCCGUAAACGAUGAGUGCUAAGUGUUAGAGGGUUUCCCGCCCUUUAGUGCUGCAGCAACGCAUUAAGCACUCCGCCUGGGAGUACGGUCGCAAGACUG